UGGGCGUAAAGCGAGCGCAGGCGGAAAAAUAAGUCUAAUGUGAAAGCCCUCGGCUUAACCGAGGAAUUGCAUCGGAAACUGUUUUUCUUGAGUGCAGAAGAGGAGAGUGGAACUCCAUGUGUAGCGGUGGAAUGCGUAGAUAUAUGGAAGAACACCAGUGGCGAAGGCGGCUCUCUGGUCUGCAACUGACGCUGAGGCUCGAAAGCAUGGGUAGCGAACAGGAUUAGAUACCCUGGUAGUCCAUGCCGUAAACGAUGAGUGCUAAGUGUUGGGAGGUUUCCGCCUCUCAGUGCUGCAGCUAACGCAUUAAGCACUCCGCCUGGGGAGUACGACCGCAAGGUUGAAACUCAAAGGAAUUGACGGGGGCCCGCACAAGCGGUGGAGCAUGUGGUUUAAUUCGAUGCAACGCGAAGAACCUUACCAGGUCUUGACAUCUAGUGCAAUCUGUAGAGAUACGGAGUUCCCUUCGGGGACGCUAAGACAGGUGGUGCAUGGUUGUCGUCAGCUCGUGUCGUGAGAUGUUGGGUUAAGUCCCGCAACGAGCGCAACCCUUAUUGUUAGUUGCCAUCAUUCAGUUGGGCACUCUAGCGAGACUGCCGGUAAUAAACCGGAGGAAGGUGGGGGUGACGUCAAAUCAUCAUGCCCCUUAUGACCUGGGCUACACACGUGCUACAAUGGUUGGUACAACGAGUCGCAAGUCGGUGACGGCAAGCAAAUCUCUUAAAGCCAAUCUCAGUUCGGAUUGUAGGCUGCAACUCGCCUACAUGAAGUCGGAAUCGCUA
rnacentral:rRNA from 1 species